GCCCAGUAUAGCUCAGUUAGUAGAGUGUUUUCCUAGCAUGCACAAGGCCCUGGGUUCAAUCCCCAGCACCA
rnacentral:tRNA from 1 species